CCCAGGUGGACACCUGGAAACCUACCUCUGUCACUUCCCAACGCACGCCUUCCUGCUGGCCGCCGCACCAUCAAUGCUUGCCUCACUGGCCUCCAUGCUGUCUUGGUGCAUGGCUUGUUCCACCACGGUCCACUCUCAGGAACAUACACCCUGCCUCAAGUGAUGAGUCGCUGCUACACCGGUGUUGUGGGCCUAAGUCAUCUGGACGUGCAUGGUGCUCACUGCUGCUUUGCGGAGUUUUGGUCCGUGUAUUAUCCGUUGUCAAGACAUUGUUUCCUGCUUCACCGUUCGCGUGCUGUGGCACCGAAGCUAGCGGCAGUGGAGGGCGCAGACACCUGCUUUUAGUGUUGGUCUGGCGUGAUCGUGAAUGAAUGUAAUCGGGUAUUAAAGGGAGACUUGGCAGGAUUUCCCCCUCUGCUGGAGAAAUUGUGCAUUAUGCCAUUUCAAACUGUGGAAAAAGUCUCAAUGUUGCAAGGUUGGUUUUCCGCAAGGGGCAGCGGGAAAAGUCACCAUUUUCACCGGAACAGGAGCUGAGAGCCCAAGGGGAGGGUAGAAGUACCCCUGAGGUGGUGGUGUCCCAUACCUGUGUGCUGUGUUCACGUGUGCUCGUUGCAGUGGAUCUUUCUUGCAGUGUGUAGUGUGUGCAUGCACUUGUAAGUGGUUGGCUUCCUGGGAUCCCCCCCGGCCUAUGGUGAUCUGCCUCCCCCAGUAAGCCUCAGCCCUGGUAUCCUUCUAUCUGUUAGUCGUUUUGUAGUAACUAUUUGUUAAUAAAUAUACUUUUAUGGAUGGAACCACGUCUCUUGCAUUCUGAGUAGACGAACUUGUGUGCCAUUACUUAAU